UACGAAGGGGGCUAGCGUUGCUCGGAAUACUGGGCGUAAAGCGUGCGCAGGCGGCGCGUUUAAGACAGGUGUGAAAGCCCCGAGCUUAACCUGGGAACUGCAUCCGUAUACUGGAUGGCUUGAAUCCGGGAGAGGGAUGCAGAAUUCCAGGUGUAGCGGUGAAAUGCGUAGAUAUCAUCAGGAACACCGGAGGCGAAGGCGGCUCACUGGGGCUUUUCUGGACGCUGAGGAACGAAAGCCAGGGGAGC
rnacentral:rRNA from 1 species